rnacentral:rRNA from 1 species
CUCGUAGGCGGUUCGUCGCGUCCGGUGUGAAAGUCCAUCGCUUAACGGUGGAUCCGCGCCGGGUACGGGCGGGCUUGAGUGCGGUAGGGGAGACUGGAAUUCCCGGUGUAACGGUGGAAUGUGUAGAUAUCGGGAAGAACACCAAUGGCGAAGGCAGGUCUCUGGGCCGUCACUGACGCUGAGGAGCGAAAGCGUGGGGAGCGAACAA